rnacentral:snRNA from 1 species
UGAAUGACUCAUUCGCUUGUU